rnacentral:rRNA from 1 species
UACGAAGGGGGCUAGCGUUGCUCGGAAUCACUGGGCGUAAAGGGUGCGUAGGCGGGUUUUUAAGUCUGGGGUGAAAUCCUGGAGCUCAACUCCAGAACUGCCUUUGAUACUGAAGAUCUUGAGUUCGGGAGAGGUGAGUGGAACUGCGAGUGUAGAGGUGAAAUUCGUAGAUAUUCGCAAGAACACCAGUGGCGAAGGCGGCUCACUGGCCCGAUACUGACGCUGAGGCACGAAAGCCAGGGGAGCAAACGGG